GUCAGAUUUUUCACAACAAUCCAAUAAAUUCGCAAAAUUAAACGGACCAAGUAGUAGGAUAAAAUGAGUGGAGCGAAUACACAUCUAUAGAAACAUAUUUUGGGCUGGUCAUGAAACUAUUUUUACAAAGGGAAUCAACACCUAAUUUGAUCAUAAUCAGUUCAAGUGGUGGUAUAUAUGUAUAAACCAGAUCCUUCAUUUUUGGUUAGUUUAAAAACGGCACCAACAGAAGCUAAAUGAUAGCAAAUCGGAGAUUUCGUCGAAGUGAAGUAAGGUGGAAGAAAAUAAGUUCUUGGCAUAUAAGGAUUGGCGUAAGCAUUAUGAAGAGUUCAUUGUUGGUUCAUAUUGGCGACUUGAGGUACAGAUAGAUAGACUGGCAGACCUCCCCAGUAGGUAGAACUUGAUAUCAGCUGAUUGGUGAGCUCCAUUUCUUCGGAGUUGUCAGGUCUUUUGGAGUCUUUCUUUUGUGGUUACAAAUUGGAUGGGUUGACCGGGGCCCUGUCCCGACCAUAAUAUAGUUAUGCUUUCUCUAGAAGCUUGUAGACGAGUCAUGUAUAUAGUUUGUCAGUGUGAUAGCCUUGCCAGCUUAUAUAUGUCUAUUUUGGUAUUGUUCACUUUGUACGAUCAUAGAAGCCUUAUCAGCUUGCUCAGUUGUAUAUAUAUGUUUUGGGUGUGUGUGACCAGUUCAGAUGAGGUAUCCAGUGUUUAUGUAUAUCCAAAUUGUGGCCUUGCCGGCUUGUGGGUAUUUUCUGUGUGCAGAUAGGCCCUAUCAGCCUAAGUUGAGGGUUCCCCCUCUAGAGUUGCAGAUUUAGAAUGGUUCGCUCGGACGAGUGUGGCACUGGGUGCCUGUCGCGCUUCUCCAUAUUUUGGGCGUGACAUGUCGACAGCACAGCUUAGUUUCCAUUGCUUUUAGUUUGCAUUUUAUGUAA